GAAGGAAGGAAGGAAGGAAGGAAGGGAGGGAGGGAGGGAGGGAGGGCUGGAGGCUGGGCUCAUUCUUUGCUCUCCUUCCUGGUGGCCUCAGUGCAAACCACUUGCUUUGCCGUGAGCUCCCUUUAUCCAGAGAAACCCCUGGAGUGACUGAAAGAAAAUAGGACGCAUAAAAUAAGCAUACUAUUGAAAAAGGAAAUGCUGUCAAAUACAAAUACCUCAGCUCCUCUGAAAAGUGCAUUAAAAUGAAUAUCCCCUGGAAACUGAUGGUGGCAAAGCCCUUGUCACAUACAAUUCUCCUGGCUGUUUGAGGUCCAUUCUCUUCCCAAAGCUUAACCAGCUAGCAGCUCUUGGGGAUCCUGAGCCAGGAGGAGCUGGCACACAAGCCUUGUGCUACCCUUUUCAGUCUAUAAAACUGUCCUGCCAAAACUGAGCAAGGGAGGUGUAGAACACAAGGGAUACACAAAAUUCUUGGACACAAGAACUGAUUAAUAUGGACAGCAAGAAUAGUGAAGAGAAGAAGAAGAUAAGGAGGGCAGCAGUCUACAGAAAGGAGAAAAGGCCAUAAAAAGGGGAACAUACACUGGAGAAUAUGUCUCUUAAUGAACAGCUGGAGACUGAAGUAAAAUGUGAUAUUCAGGCAGAAGGUGAGUGUGACGCCAAGAAACUAGGGAGUAUUUCAGAGAGCUCAGGAACUGAGGCAAUGAUCCUUGUGGUGAAGUUUCAGAACAUGACAAACCAGAGGUCAAUAAAUACAUGGUAUUUACCUGCUGACACACCCAGCAAAGUUCACUGGGGGCAGCAAAGCAACCACCAGAAUAGGAUUGCUUAUAACCAGAAUUCAUUUGGGUAGGAAACACUAGAGGUAUCUCAUUUAAAACUGUGUGUACUUUGAAGGAGCACUGGAAAGGUGAAACUGACAUGUUGGCUACAG